rnacentral:rRNA from 1 species
AACGAACGCUGGCGGCGUGCCUAACACAUGCAAGUCGUGCGGGAAAGUUCCCUUCGGGGAGCGAGUAGAGCGGCGCACGGGUGAGUAACACGUAGGUAACCUGCCACUAAGUCUGGGAUAACUUGUCGAAAGACGAGCUAAUACUGGAUAAUCCCCCUAGGCGAAAGUCUGGGGCGUGAAAGAUGGCCUCUGCUUGCAAGCUAUCGCUUGGUGAUGGGCCUGCGCGCCAUUAGCUAGUUGGUGAGGUAACGGCUCACCAAGGCGGAGAUGGCUAGCUGGUCUGAGAGGAUGAUCAGCCACACUGGGACUGAGACACGGCCCAGACUCCUACGGGAGGCAGCAGUGGGGAAUAUUGCGCAAUGGGCGAAAGCCUGACGCAGCGACGCCGCGUGGGUGAUGAAGGCCUUCGGGUCGUAAAGCCCUGUCGGAAGGGACGAAACCUCGGCAGUAUAAUACACUGUCGACUUGACGGUACCUUCUAAGGAAGCACCGGCUAACUACGUGCCAGCAGCCGCAGUAACAC